UAUAUAUAUAUACCUGCUUCCUAAUCCAUCCAUGGUCAAACCCAUAUCCACAACAGGAUCUAUGACUGUAACUAUACACUAUAUACAACAGAAGGUUUAUAAUACACCAAAAGGGUAUAAACCUCUAUCUACAUUAUACUAUACUAUACUAUGGAGCGGCACAACUAGCAGGCAACCACUAAUCCUGCUCCUCUCUAUACAAUAC
rnacentral:lncRNA from 1 species